UUGUCGUUCUUGAAGAAGGAUCUUAGUCAGUAGUGGUUUUCCAGAACAAAACCACAGAAAACAUCCUGGCUGUUUAAAUACAGAGUGGGGCUCCAGUCUGGAGAGCUUCCCAUGGGUAUGCUUUGGGGGUGAAUCAGGUCCAAACAUCUCCCAGGUCAUCGGAUGGCACCGCCUCCCUGAUCCUCCACACUUCUGUCAGUCAAUGGUGCCGUUUCAGGGGCCAUGGAGUUGGAUGAAGAGGGCUAAGGACCACGCAUUCCUGCCCACUCUGCCCACCAGACUCCUCGGGAGCUCAGGGAGGAGGCAAGUGUGCCUGGUCUUCUCUGGCUACUCCCCAGAUCUUCUCUGGGAGAUGGCAUCUCUGAGCCCACACAGCAAAUGAGAACUCUGGACAGAGAGCCAGUGUGCUAAGGCAAUGCUUUCGAAUGCACAGUCUAGACCUGGUGACAUGGAUAAGAUCUAUAUAGCUGGUUGGAAUGAGAAGGGCCAGUGAAGGCAUUAAAACUUCAUUGGUCAAGAAACAGCAGGACAUACAGCAAGAACCAACAGAGCCCUGGAGCGGUUUGUGUUUAUUCUUCCCAGACUCUCUAAGUGGACUUAGAGAAUCCAUUCAACGAAGGCACUCCAGUCUGAAGAGAAGAAGGCUGAUGUCACCUGCAGCUUGGAAACUGGCUCUACCCCACCCAGCUCCUCCUGGGCCUAGGUAGAGAGAGAAGAUGGGGAUGCAGGCUGGGGAUGGAAGAACUGUACACCCAUUAAAAACGAGUUUAAAAUGGUUUUAACUGAAGAAUUUGUGGAAAGUGCAGCAGCCGAGUUAAGAUUGCUGAGCUGCGUUCUCACUGAUGGAUUCGUUCGGAGCUGGCCUUUUGGGAUCUGAUCAUUCAGUCCUCACCAUAACAGCCCCGAUGUUCAGCCCACGCUCCUGCUGGAGGAUACGCCUGCUCAUCCAGCCCGUCUUACCUUCUUAGGGGAAACCAGAUUAUUGGAGCCCUCAGACAGCACCCGCUCCUGAAAAGAAAUGGAACACAUUUUAUUGGCACAGCCAAGAUGAAGUAUGUCUUGAAAUCUGUUUUACAAAUAAACUCGCACAUAAAUUGUCCAUUCGCUGCUCGGAAGCCCCCCUCCCCCUUUUUUUGAAGAGCUGUCAGAGGUCCCUA